rnacentral:rRNA from 1 species
AUUCAAUAUAACACCUAAAAUGUUAAUGCACCAGAUCCCAUUAGAAAUCCACAGUUAAGAGUGCUUGGGAUAGAGUAGUACUGGGAUGGGUGACCUCCUAAUAUCCUGGUGUUUUACAUG